rnacentral:tmRNA from 1 species
GGGGCUGAUUCUGGAUUCGACGGGAUUUGCGAAACCCAAGGUGCAUGCCGAGGGGCGGUUGGCCUCGUAAAAAGCCGCAAAAAAAUAGUCGCAAACGACGAAACCUACGCUUUAGCAGCUUAAUAACCUGCUUAGAGCCCUCUCUCCCUAGCCUCCGCUCUUAGGACGGGGAUCAAGAGAGGUCAAACCCAAAAGAGAUCGCGCGGAUGCCCUACCUGGGGUUGAAGCGUUAAAACGAAUCAGGCUAGUCUGGUAGUGGCGUGUCCGUCCGCAGGUGCCAGGCGAAUGUAAAGACUGACUAAGCAUGUAGUACCGAGGAUGUAGGAAUUUCGGACGCGGGUUCAACUCCCGCCAGCUCCACCA